ACUAAAAUGGUGUGAAUUUUAGAG
rnacentral:siRNA from 1 species